GUGUUGAUACUGUCCGCGCAUACACUUUUGGCGUUCUAUACUUUGUGGAGGUUUGUGAUGUAGCUUUUGUUAAGCUUUCUGCAGCUGCAUCAGGUCAUCUUGCUAAACUUAUUUUGCCUCAGAUGCCUUCAUAAAGGAAUUGGGAUCUGGAAUAGUAUCAUUAGGAAAUUAGUAAAUUGGGUAAUAAGUUUGGAGUGUCAAUGAUGUUGCACCUUUUUGUGCUUUUCGUCAUUAGAAUUGAGCCUAAUCUGCAAUCCAUCAAUGGUGACUCAGGGAAUACAACGUUAGCAUAACUUGUACUCUUUUCACCUUUUCACCACUAGUUGGUAGUAUAAAAACAAAACCCAACAGUAAAGAGUAGAACAUGUUACCCUAUAUUUCUCCUUUUGUCCAAUAUUGAAUGACAUGAACACUCUUGAAGAUCCUUUACUGUCAAGCAAAUGAGCUUCUUUUUUUACUGUUUUUUUGAAACAGGUCGACAUUGAACUUCCAGAAGAUCUACCUUUGAUCGAGGCACACACCAUAGGAGAGUCCCUGCAGAUAAAGCUCGAGAAACUUCCAGAAGUUGAGCGCGCAUUCGUUCAUCUAGACUACGAAUGCGAUCACAAACCAGAGCAUUCUGUUCUCAACUCUCUUCCCAACAAUCAGGGUUAAUUUGCAGUUGUUCUGUAAGUUGUUUUGACUUAUUGAUAGUAGUCUCUAGUUGAGUGCACGAAAUGGGGAAAAUGAGAGAAGAUAUUGUACAUUAAGUUCCCUUCACGCAAUGGAAAUAAUUCCUACGAUAGCUCGAGUAUCAUACCUUGAAUGGUUCGACAAUUGUUGAUGAUUGAUGGUUUCUACGGUACACUCGAAAUUUUCUCAGAUGCAUCUAAUGAUGAAGAAGCAUGAAGGUAUCACAAUAUGGAAACAUAAAAGGGCAAUUCA
rnacentral:lncRNA from 1 species